ACCCGCUGAACUUAAGCAUAUCAAUAAGCGGAGGAAAAGAAACCAACAGGGAUUGCCCCAGUAACGGCGAGUGAAGCGGCAAUAGCUCAAAUUUGAAAUCUGGCCCCUCUGGGGUCCGAGUUGUAAUUUGCAGAGGGCGCUUUGGCAUUGGCAGCAGCCUAAGUUCCUUGGAACAGGUCAUCAUAGAGGGUGAGAAUCCCGUAUGUGGCUGCCUGUCUUGGCCGUGUAAAGCCCCUUCGACGAGUCGAGUUGUUUGGGAAUGCAGCUCUAAAUGGGAGGUAAAUUUCUUCUAAAGCUAAAUAUUGGCCAGAGACCGAUAGCGCACAAGUAGAGUGAUCGAAAGAUGAAAAGUACUUUGGAAAGAGAGUCAAAAAGCACGUGAAAUUGUUGAAAGGGAAGCGCUUGCAGCCAGACGUGCCCGCAGUUGCUCACCUGGGGGAUCCCCCCCAGUGCACUCUUCUGUGGGCAGGCCAGCAUCAGUCUGGGCGGUUGGAGAAAGACCUGUGUCACGUAGCUGUUCUCGGGCAGUGUUAUAGGGCAGGUGGAAUGCGACCAGCCUGGACUGAGGUCCGCGCAUUUGCUAGGAUGCUGGCGUAAUGGCUGU
rnacentral:rRNA from 1 species